UGUACAUUUGUAUGGGGCUGUGGGGUAGAAACAGAAAUAUAAAGGUGUGAGUGAGAUAAGAGGCCUGGUUUGUUCCCCCCCCUUUUUUAAAAAAAAAAAAAAAAAGAGAGAGAGAGAGAGAGAGAUUUAUAUAUGUACCUUGUAGGUAUCGUUUUGUUUCUCUCCCUGAUGGAGCGCCUUCAUGCGCUUGUGGAGCUCUUCAGACUCCAUCCGCUAUGCAAACACCAGGGAAAAUACUGAAAGCAGGAAAAGCUUAGGGGGAAAUAUCCGGAGAUAGAUCUUAAUAAGGAACACGGUCAGUCAACUGACACUUGAUUGAGAGGAAAAUCAAAAAAAACCAGAAAAUGAGCGACACGAGAUGAAAUCGAAGGCAUUUGUCUGAGUGGCAUGUGUAUGUACAGUACACAGCACAAAACAAAUGCAUUGACAAAAAAAAAAAAGAAUGAAUGAA
rnacentral:sRNA from 1 species